AUUGUUUUCAUGUUUUGCGAAAGAGUGAUCCUCCUCAUAGUUACCUAAAACCCCUUAGUUGUCAAACAAUAUAACGCUUGACAACUUCGUCAGAUUAGGAAUCAGUUUUGACUGAUUAUGGCUUGAUCAUAUGAAUUAUGAUUUUGAUUCGUGAAGUCUCAAUACUCGCUUUUGAAAUAUGCCACUUCAACAUUGCAUAAGAAAUGGGUGGCUACAACAAACGAUAGUUUCAAGUUUACAUGGCUUAUACAACACUCUGGUUGAAACUUUUUUU